CAGUAUGAUGAAAAAUUGGGGAGGCUGCACCAGACUGACUAGAGAAAGAUGUGGCAUAAGACCGUCCAGCACCAUCCGAAA